GACGAACGCUGGCGGCGUGUCUAAUACAUGCAAGUAGAACGCUGAAGGAGGAGCUUGCUUCUCUGGAUGAGUUGCGAACGGGUGAGUAACGCGUAGGUAACCUGCCUGGUAGCGGGGGAUAACUAUUGGAAACGAUAGCUAAUACCGCAUAAUAGUAGAUGUUGCAUGACAUUUGCUUAAAAGGUGCAAUUGCAUCACUACCAGAUGGACCUGCGUUGUAUUAGCUAGUUGGUGAGGUAACGGCUCACCAAGGCGACGAUACAUAGCCGACCUGAGAGGGUGAUCGGCCACACUGGGACUGAGACACGGCCCAGACUCCUACGGGAGGCAGCAGUAGGGAAUCUUCGGCAAUGGACGGAAGUCUGACCGAGCAACGCCGCGUGAGUGAAGAAGGGUUUCGGAUCGUAAAGCUCUGUUGUAAGAGAAGAACGAGUGUGAGAGUGGAAAGUUCACACUGUGACGGUAUCUUACCAGAAAGGGACGGCUAACUACGUG
rnacentral:rRNA from 1 species